rnacentral:rRNA from 1 species
GAUGAACGCUGGCGGCGUGCCUAAUACAUGCAAGUCGAGCGAACAGACGAGGAGCUUGCUCCUCUGACGUUAGCGGCGGACGGGUGAGUAACACGUGGAUAACCUACCUAUAAGACUGGGAUAACUUCGGGAAACCGGAGCUAAUACCGGAUAAUAUAUUGAACCGCAUGGUUCAAUAGUGAAAGACGGUUUUGCUGUCACUUAUAGAUGGAUCCGCGCCGCAUUAGCUAGUUGGUAAGGUAACGGCUUACCAAGGCAACGAUGCGUAGCCGACCUGAGAGGGUGAGCGGCCACAUUGGAAGUGAGACACGGACCAGACUCCUAAGGGAGGCAGCAGUAGGGAAUCUUACGCAAUGGGCGAAAGCUUGACGAAGCAACGCCGCGUGAGUGAUGAAGGUCUUCGGAUCGUAAAACUCUGUUAUUAGUGAAGAACAAAUGUGUAAGUAACUAUGCACGUCUUGACGGUACCUAAUCAGAAAGCCACGGCUAACUACGUG